GAAAUGGUUUAGGAUUAAAAAUUUCUUAUAUUGGAACUGUUAUAAUUAAAACGAAAAAUAGUGAUAUUGCUUUAAAAAAUACUUUAUGUGUUCCGGAUCUUAAAAUGAAAUUGUUAUCUAUUUAAUCUAUGUCUAGGGAUUUAAAUUGUAGUUUUGUUUUAAAUGAUGAUAGUUUUAGAAUUCAUGAUAAUAUUGUUGGUGAUAAACUAAUACAUGGAAAUGGACAUAAUGGACUGUAUCAAUUACAUAAAUUUCAGGAUUCUUCAACUGUUUUUUUUACAACUACUAAUAAAAAUAAGUUAGAUGUGUUAUGACACAAUAGAUGUGGGCAUCCAUCAGCCCACAUCAAUCUUAAAUAAACUUUUAAAAGCUAAUAAAGUUAACAUUUAUAAUAUUAAUCAAAAAUGUAUUACUUGUUCGUUAAAUAAAAUGAAAAAACUUCCAUUUAAAAAUAAGGAGACUUAUAGUAAGAUUUCUUUAGAUGUUAUUUAUAUGGAUGUUUGGGAACCAACCUCAAUUACAUCUUUUCAUGAAUACAAAUAUUAUUUACUCAUAAUAGAUGAGUAGUAUUCUAGGUUUUCAUGGCUUUAUCCUUUAAAAUCAAAAGAUGAGGUUUUCAGUUGUUUUAAAAAAUUUCAUGUUAUGAUUAAAAAGUCAUUAGAUUUUUCAAUAAAAACUAUUCAAACUGAUGGUGGAGGAGAAUUUCAGAAUUCUUCUUUUCUUUCUUACUGUAAAGUACAUGGAAUUAAGUAUAGAUUUUUCUCUCCUUACACACCCGAACAAAAUGGGUUAGUAGAGAAGAAACAUGGUCACAAUAUUUCUAUCUAUAGGUGUUUUUUUCAUCAAUAAGAAAUACCUAAGAUAUAUUGAUCAGAAACUUGUUAUACGUUUGUCUACACUAUUAACAUACUACCUUCAAAGGAUUUGGGAUUUCCUUACCUUAUUUCAUUCUAUACAAUAAAGAGCCAUAUACACUAAUUAUUUUAAAGAUUUUGAUUCACUUUGUUUUUCUCUUAUACCUAAACAAAUGAGGAAUAAAUUUGAACCAUUUUCUAUUGUUGUUUCUUGGGUUAUUCACCCUCAUAAAGCCUACAAAUGUUUGGAGCUUAAGGACUCUAAAAUUAUUAUUUUUAGCCAUGUUAAAUUUUAUUAGGAAAUUUAUCAUUUUAAAGAUUAUAAAUUAGAAACACCUUCGAUAAAAUCAAAUUUUCCCACGACUUUACCACUUUCACAGACAAUUAGUACUACACCUGUGGUACUAUCAAACUUAUCCGAAGAAGUUAGUAAUAAUGGACUAGAAACAUCAGAUAACCCUUCAUCACUGAGAAAUGAGACUGAAUGUGUGGUUCAAGCACAACUACUGUUUUGAAAUGUCUGGAUACAUGCCGAUAGAAGGUUCACAAACCCUAACCAGGAAACACACCGAUCUGGAAAACAAAAAAAACAAGUACAAAACCACCGACCAAAAAAAAGAACAAAACAAGAGGAACGCAGGUCUGAAAAGAAAAAGAAAAUCAACUGAACAUGCCGACUGGACCAGGACAGACCCGCCGACUGGAAAAUCGCAGGAAAAAACGCCGAUUUGGAUGAACGCAAGGAAAAAUAAAUCCACCAAUUUGGAUGAACGGAAAAAAAAAAAACCACCGAUCUGGAUGACCAAGACAGACUCGUUGACUGAAAGACAGAGAAACGCCGGUCUGAAAAACCCUCCCUCUGAAAACCCUAGCCGAUCAAAAAAAUGCCAAAUUUUGCUCUUUUCUUUUCAAUUUUAAUCCAACCUCUGUGACUGAGAAAUUAUAUUACACCAAUGAAAAACCUAAUGGAAUUGUAUUACACCAACAUACGCGACGCAGAAAACUAAAAAAAAAUUGAACACCAAGUCUUUUACAUUAAGAAGAGUAGGAGAUGAGGAUUCACAGAUUGAUGAUUCACAAACGGAAAAAAACGUCGUGCAAAAAUAUAUUCGAGGUACAUAUCGACGUGGAUGAAGAUGUGUUUCCGACGAGAACAAAAGGAAAAUAGGUUUUCCCUAGCGAAUUGAAAAAAAUGAAGAAGAUGAGUACGAAAAAAAUGAAGAAAAAGAUGAGUGGAGGUGAGAUUACGUGUGACGUGUGAGGUAAGGUACAAAUUACAGAUAAGAUACAAAAUAGGUGUAGCAAAGUCAUAUGUAGGUGUAGAGGAAUCUUUAUUUCAUGGAAAUAUGUGCAAAUAAAACAAUAAAAAACUUUUAAAGGAAUAACGGUUGUGAUAAAGAGGUACUACAUCCAAUGGCUAAGCAAAUGUGAACGUUUUUUAGCUUACCAUAUGUUGAGCUUACCUGAAAAAAAGUUGUAUAAUUAAAAUUGUAAAAUAAUAAUAAUAAUUUAUUAUAUAUUAAUACUAUUAUAUUAUUUAUUAUAUUAUUUAUUAAUAUUAUUAUUAUAUUAUAGAAAAUGUUAAAAGAGGGUCUUUUUUAGAUUUGGAGAGGUCGAGCUUUAUUGUUUUCAUUUUUGAUGGUGUUUAUCGGAUAUUAUAAAAGCUAUAACACCCAAUGACACAUCAAAACUUAGCCCGUUAGGUGGCAAGACACCAACGACACAUGAUCAGUGGUGCAGCACGCAUGCAGCGAAGCUACUUCACUAUAGAUUGGAAACACCAAGUUACGACCAGACAGGAUAGACAACCGGAAGAAGAACCUUUAUGUAUUAUGUAAUUUCACCAAUCCAUUUAAACGUGUAUUUACCAUUGAUUUCAUGAUUAACUCUUGUAAUCCGACAAAAACUGAUAGUACUCCAUCGGAGAGCACCAUUUUUUUUUUGAACUACUGAAAUAUAUACAUUUUGACCAGAAUAAAGAUCAAAAUAUUGAAAAAAGUGAGAAAGGGAUACACUAGUCUGAAAAUUAGAAAUUCAAUUUAAUAUAUUUGGGUUAUUCCAACAGUUCACCGAUUGUGAAGGACUGGAAACACAAAUGGGGGAAUAACAAUUGAAAACUUCUUAACAUAGCCUUAAUUUCAGUAUAUAAUACUAAGGAUUAGCUAUGAAAGUAAUUAAUAGAUGUAGAUUGGUCAUAUGUAAAAAACAAUAUAGGAUUAGCCUUUAAUAUUCUCUUGUUCUGUUUGGCUAAGAAUUCAUGACAAAUUUAAGGAAUCAAAUGAGGUUCAUCAUACAGAUUAUGCAAAAGAUAGGGAUUACUUAAACGUAUGCGAAUGAAACAUUAUAAAAUUCUGCUUGAAAACACGAAUAAUUGUAAAAUGUGUUUAGCUCUUGAGGAUACCCAGAGUAUGUCUUCAGCUCAUGAUCAAUCAUAUAUAAGUUCAUGAUCAAUCAUAUAUAAGCUCAUGAUCACAUACGACGUUCAUGGUACAAAUCCAUGCAUUCAAAUACUAAUUGAUAGGGGUAUAUCAUGAAUCGGAUGCUAUCAAUAUGGAAGAAAUCACUUUCACUAUUAAAACUUUUCAUUUUUACCUCAAUCUUUAUUUUUAUAGAAUGACAUUCCAAAAUGCAAAGGAAAAACGACCAGUAAAGAAAUCAUGGUAAAACUUUUCAAUUAUUAUCAGAAAAUAGAAUAAGGAUCCAAAUUCCUAUCAAAUGUGCCAAUAAAAAUUACCAAUGGGGACAUCAAUCUUUUACAAUUCUUCUUGAUUUCAUGCUGUGAACCAAAUGUUGUUUUUUAGAUAAUUUUUUUCUUUCAUAUUGAUAGCAUCCGAUUUGAAAUAAAAAACAACUUCAAUGCAACAAAACAUUGUACAAUACGUACCUAGAAUAGAAGAGAAAAGCAUUGGAAGAUGAAGCCACUGGAAGUUUAAAAAAACCCAAACAAAAAAGAGAAAACAGAAAUGAAUUACCUGUUAAGAUGAAGUCACCGGAAGUCGACGAAAAGAUGAAGCCACCGGAGGUCGCGGUCGCCGAUGCUGGAAGGGAUUAGGAAGGAGAAAUCGGAAAAACGGGAUUGGGUUGGGAGAAAUCAAAAAUCGGGAGGGAAGGAGUUUAGGGAUUUAAAUUUUUUUGGGUUUAAAUGUUUAAUUUAGGGGUUUGGGAU
rnacentral:lncRNA from 1 species